GGUCCUGUAGUUCAAUGGAUAGAACGGAAGUUUCCUAAACUUUAAAUCCGAGUUCGAUUCUCGGCGGGACUACAA
rnacentral:tRNA from 1 species